rnacentral:lncRNA from 1 species
AUGUCUUCCCUCUUAGCUCCUUCAGGCAUUUCCCAGUCAAAUGAAUAGAGAAGAUUAGAAAGUACAAGGUCGAUGGUAGCAAUAGCCAUGUUUAAGCCGGGGCAAAUUCUUCGCCCAGAACCAAACGGAAUCAGCUCAAAAUCUUGUCCUUUUAAAUCUAUAUCACUUCCUAUGAAUCUCUCUGGAUAAAACUCUUCUGGAUCCUUCCAUACUUCUGGGUCUCUAUGGAUCGCCAAUGCAUUCACGUACACCAAUGUCUUGUCUGGAAUGUCGUACCCUGCAAUGUUGCAAUUUGUCAUUGUUUCUCUUGGUAAAAGUAUAGGCAAAAUUGGGUACAAUCUCAUCGAUUCUUUUAUAACGGCCUUGAAAUAUGGAAGCUUUUCGACAUCUUCUUCCUCUAUAAAACCUUUCCCUGCACACACUUUCCGAAUCUCUUCUUGUACUUUCUGCAUCGCUCUUGGAUUCUUCAUUAGCGCAGUCAUAGCCCAGACUACCGCUGCCGCAAUUGUUUCUGUCACAGCAAACGACAUAUUCUGCAAUAUUGGACAAGUUUCAAUAUGUUUCAUGAACUAUUCUGCAAAGAUAAAAUGUUUUGAAAUUGAACCAAGAUGAAGGCUUAAUAAGAGUGAAGAAUAAAAAUAAUUAAAAAAAAACAUUAACCAUGAUCAAGGGCUUGAUGUGUUCUGCAGUGAGAUCCAUUGAGCAGUAAGGAUCAUUCUUCAGUUCAAUCAAGGCAUCAAUAACAUCAUCCUCAUGUGGAGGCAACUUCUUCCUUUCUGGAUCAAGAUGUUCAUCAACAAUACUUUGAUAAAGUUCAUCUGAAACCUUGAACGUUUUCUCAAGGCGACUCGUCUUUCCGGUGAGCUUAUCAACAAUCCCUCCAACAAAGGGCAAAUAAUCCGCGUAAAAGAACGAAAUUAGCAAAUCCUGAACUUCUUUAUGCAGACCUUGAAACAUGCUACGCUCAAUUCCUUCCCCUUCAUACCUUCUGCCGAAGGCGGUCUUACAAACUAAAGUACUUGUAAGACAAGUAAGAAGAUCCUGCAUGUUCAUAACUUUGUUGGAAGAAGCAUUUUCUGAUAUCUUCUUGAUCAUUCGUGUCACCUCAUCUUUUCUAACUGAGUAAAACAUUGAGACUCUUUUGACACUAAGAAAAUGAAUAAAGGAAAGUUUUUUUGUGUGUCUCCAAUAUUCUCUAUAUGGUGCAAAUAUUUGAUCUAAUCCAUUAUAUGAUAUUUUCAUAUGGCUGAUUAACGCGGGUCGGUUACAGAAUUCGAUAUCAUGUGUUUUCAUUACUUCUUUGGCCAUUUUUGCUGAUGAAACAACGACUGUUUGCUUUGAACCAAGUUUAAGGGAGAUUAUAGGGCCAUAUUUCUUAGAGAGUUCAUAGAAAUUUAAACCAAGAACUGAACUAUCAAGUUGGUGUAAGUUUCCAAUGAAAGGAAGGCCUUUAGGACCUGGUGGAAGAGUUGUUGAUUUCUUAGAUGUUUUGUGUUUUUUGAACAAGAAGAAUAGCAAGAGAGCAAAGGGUAAAAGAAUAAGGGGUGACAUGUUUUUGUUCAUGAAUUAGGGAUAGCUAUUCAGCUAUUGUAAUAUAUAGAUAGACACCACCAACUCUUUUUAAGGUACUUCACUUAUAGUUUUGGAUAAGAACGUUAUGUCAUAAUUUGAUCCAUGUAGCUGACUGUACUUAAGGGAUAAGGUUUGAUUGUUUUUGUCACAUUGCAUUUUGAAUACAUCAGUAUAGGACGAAUAUAGACACGAAAAGCAAACAUCAGCCGAUUAAUACUAUUUAUUAUUACCCUUAAAAUGACUAAACCACUUUUUGAAUACAUAAGUAUGGGACGAAUAUAGACACGAAAAGAAAACAUCAGUCAGUUAAUACUAUUUAUUAUUACCCUUGAAAUGAGUAAACCACUUUUUGAAUACAUCAGUAUGAGACGAAUGUAGACACGAAAAGCAAACAUCAUCCAGUUAAUAUUAGUUAUUAUUACCCUUAAAAUGACUAAACCACUUUUUGAAUACAUCAGUAUGGGACGAAUAUAGACACAAAAAGAAAACAUCAGCCAGUUAAUACUAUUUAUUAUUACCCUUGAAAUGAGUAAACCACUUUUUGAAUACAUCAGUAUGGGACGAAUAUAGACAUGAAAAACAAACAUCAGCAAGUUAAUAUUAUUUAUUAUUAUUUAUUAUUACCCUUGAAAUGACUAAACCACUUUUUGAAUACAUCAGUAUGAGACGAAUAUAGACACGAAAAGAAAACAUCAGCCAAUUAAUACUAUUUAUUAUUAUUUAUUAUUACCCUUGAAAUAAGUAAACCACUUUUUGAAUACAUCAGUAUGGGACGAAUAUAAACACGAAAAGAAAACAUCAGCCAGUUAAUACUAUUUAUUAUUAUCCUUGAAAUGACUAAACCACUUUUUGAAUACAUCAGUAUGGGACGAAUGUAAACACGAAAAGCAAACAUCAGCAAGUUAAUAAUUAUUAUUUAUUAUUUCAAGUAAACCACUUUUUGAAUACAUCAGUAUGGGACGAAUAUAGACACAAACAACAAACAUCAGCCAGUCAAUACUAUUUAUUACUCCAUCCGUUUCAAAAUGAGUGUCAUUUUAACCAAAAAAAAAUUGUAUUAAAAUGAUUGUCACUUUCAGUUUCCAAUGCAAUAAUAACAAUUGUUUCAAAAAUUGUUGUACAAAUAUCAUUUCUCUUUUUAUUAUUUGAUUCUCACACUCUAAACUAAACAAAUAUCGAGAUGUCAAUUUAUCCAAAAAUAAAUAAAUAUCGACAUGUCAAUGCUAUUUUAUUAUUUAUUAUCACACCGUAAAUCUCUGAAAACAAUAAGCUUGCACAAAACUGCAUGUCUUCGUGGAUUCAACAUUUCUUUUAAGAUGUAAAAUUAUGUAAAAGACAACGAGUUAAAAUUAUAUCAAUAUAUAUAUAUAUAUAUAUAUAUAUAUAUAUAUGGGGUUUGCUAACUUAGAACAACAAAAAAACGUGAAGGUCCAAGUUAGCAAAAAUGCACUUUUUCAUUUGAACAAAAAAACAAAUAUCCAAAUUGGUAAAUAUCCCUCAAGCUAUUUGUUAUAAAAUAAAAGUGGGUCUAAGUUAGCAAGCAAAUUGGUGUAAGUUAACAAACAUGUUUUAAUGAAAAUUACUAAAGUAACCCUCAAACUAUUUGUAAUAAAAUAAAAGUGGGUCUAAGUUAGCAAAUUGGUGCAAGUUAACAAAUAAGUUUUAAUAUAAAUUACUAAAAGAUUAUCAACUUUUUUGUUAUAACUUGCUAAAAGACACUUUAAUAAAAAUUAGUUGGUGUCUUUUAACAAAUGCCUAUAAGAUAACUUGCUAAAAUACACCUUCAUAAAGGGUGUCUUCUAUAUAUAUAUAUAUACCAAAAAAAGUUGAUUUUAUAUCAUUAUACAUUUCACCAAAUGAUAUACAUUUCAACUAACGAUAUAUAUUUAAUCUAAUCCGCCCCAAGAUCUAUGCUAACAUCAUCAAGAUUAUAGCUUUUAUCAUUUUCAAUCUUCACACCAUCUUCAACCUUCUUCUCAGCAUCAAGCUUCUUUACAAGAUCAACCAUCUGUCUGAUAUAUCUAUCAGGCCAUCUUUUUGCAUCAUCUAGAGAGUGUUGUCACCAUAGCGGGCAAAUGGGAGGAAUUGGAAAACCAUCAUUCAAAUAUAUUAUCAUAAAAUGGUUGUCAUUCACAUGUGUCAGACACAUCAAUCGACCUCUAUGUGAUGGUGCACCACAUAGAGGGAAAUAGGUUUCCAAUCACCCUUUCGCAAUAGACAGUAGAACCACCACAUGUUUGUAUCUCUGUACAAUGAGGAAACUCAUAUCCGGCAUGGUCAUCCAUUUAUCCGGUGGUGCAUGACCAAUAUCGGAAUAAGUUAGAGCGCCUAAGACCUGUUUAUAUCGCCUAUCUACACAAAUCAUCUGUCGAUAGCACGCAUUUUCUUCAUCGAUAAACUCUUUGUGAAGUUGGUAACAGAUCAACUGGCGAGCAUCAACAUACAUGUCACGUAGGUCCGCAACGGCACAAACCCCACAAUGGCCAUCACAACUACAUCCACCUCCUUUUCAAUAAAUUCAUGCAUCCAAUGUGGGAUUUGUUCUUUGUGUGGUAUGUGGACUUUAACCAGAAUUGGCUUAGGAGGAUUAUAAGACAUGUUGCUUUUCCGUGCACUUUCUCUACUUGUCCCUGUUGAAUUUGUAUGUGAAGCACGUGUUUGUUGAUCCUGGGAGUCAACAAUCUCCUAGAGCAAAGGCGAUCAUUUUGUUGACUAAAUGAUAUGUUUAUUUUUCUUUGGAGCUCCUUUAGGGGGUGACUUUUUUUGGCGGUGGACGCAUAGAGGUCAUCUCCUGCAAAGAAAACUGUCGAAAUUGUUCUUUGAUGCGCACCUUCAUGUUGUAAUCAACGUCCUUGAUUCGGGCCUACAAUGCGUACAAAAAUCUGUCAGGUGGAAUGUUGUAGAAAUCUAAGAAAAUAUGCAUUAUGUUUUGUCCAGUGACUAUUCGGAUUAUAUAAUCUGAAACAUCUCAACCCCCCCCCCCCCCCCCCAGAUCAUGCAAACCAAGUACGUCUGCAUGGUGCUUAAAUGAAAAUUUUUCGGAUUAUAUAAUCCAAAAUUCAUUUAAUAGCUUUUCAUAUUAUAUAAUCUGAAUUCAACCAGUACAUAAAUAGAUCACCCUCUUACUCGAACUUCAACCUCAUCUAGUGAGUGUGGAUGUCAUCCAAACAAAUGGGGGUGUUGUUCUUGAUCUUCAUUGCAAUCGUACACGCACAUGGAAAUCUGUAAGCGAUGAAAAUUAAACAACCACACUUGGAUUUAUCCGUACUACAACCAACUACUCGAUCAACCUCGAUUGCGAGAUAAUGCAAAGCGUUCCUUGGUAUGUUUCGAAUCAACCUAGCCACAACAACUUUCCUUUGAACCUAUGUUCAAGCAUGAUCAUGCUCGUCUAGAAGGAAGCAUGUAUUUGAGUAUGUUGUGACUCUAGCAUGUUGUGAGUGGAGUUCCAUUUUGUACUUAAUUCACCCAUACUACUAUAGUAAGAUACUUUUUCAACGGUCUGUGUGCAUAUUCUGCUCUGUUUGUCGUAGUAUUUCCCAUAUGCUUGACUUUAGUGAACCAAAAAUUCACAAUCUAUUCCUUCACCGAACCCAAAAUUAUAUUUUCAACAUAUUUCAAAAACUUAGGAAAUUUGUGGCAUACAACUUUGAACCGGUUGCAAUUAUCAACAUAUGCUUGCUCUGUAUCAAAAUUCACGAUAUCCUCCCAUGCAACCAUAACCGUUUUCACCACCUCACUUAACUUGAUCUCUUUCCCAUCCUUGCCUUUUAAAUCCUUAACUUUGCAAUCCGUCUUACAUUUUGCUCUAACAUUUUUUUAAUGUGAUACUCACACAAGAGAGCAGUAGCUUCAAGGAAAACAAUAUACACAACAUUCAUCAAAGCAUGUUAAUAAUUAGAGACAGCUACAUUGGGUGAAAUAUCUUUGGAAUGCAACAGUUCACGACACCUGUCAUGAGACCAAGUAACAUUAUCUUCCUUCUCAUACAUCAUAUAACCAAAUCCAAUAGAGAACAUGUACUCGAUAUAAGUGUUACUAACAAACUCAAGUAACGGAAGACGAUACUUGUUGGUCUUAUAAAUCGAACCCAUCACAAGCACCGUAGGCAACAUGUUAAACAACUUGAUACCAUUUGGAUGUGCUUGGAAAAUAUCACUUACAUCAUCGGAAUCAUGAUACUUCCUACGUGAUACAUGUACUCCUUCUCAACCAAUUAUUUCAAAAGAUGUUGCAUGCCUGUUCUCGUACCCCUAAUAGACGUCCGACGAUUUUAUGACCUUUCAACACCUCUUCCAUGUCAUGGUUGUGUCUACCGUCACCAACUUGGAGGCUCCAAUCACCAACAAUUAACAAAUAACCUCUCAACCGAAACAAACACUCACAUUUAACUGAACCAGAUAUUUUGUGUCUCUUCAACUUCUUGUACUCCGUGUAUGAACCUCCUCUUUUACAUAUCACAAUAACAAAUGCAUUUAUCCCAUUUCCACCUCUAUCUGAUUUACCAAUAACGGUUGAAAAACCUAGCUUCCUCUCGAAGCCACUUCAAAAAAUCGUUAUGAAUAGCAAACUUUUGUUUGAUGGUAAAAUUUUCUUGAUGAUUAAUAGAAACAACAACAUCUUGAGGUACAACAAUCGAAGGAGCAUUCUCUGCUUUCACAUUGCCGGAAGGAAUGUCAACUUUCGGUGGAGGUACCUCGGGUUUGCCGUUUUCAGAAUCAUCUAUAACUUCAAGAUCAACAACCGACAGCACAUUAGGUGGUUCAAUAUUAGGUGGCUAUUCAUUGGACGCAUCAACAGAAACAUCCAUUACUGAAACAGUGCGAAAGCAUGGUCAGAAAAUGCAAGCACUUUAUGUACUGGUGUUAUUCUUUAUUUAUCACACUCUAAAUCUUUAAGAUAUACACAUCACUGACUUCUUUAAGGCACUUUAUAAUAUGUGUCAUCGCCAUUAAAGUUACAAUAUUAUUUUAAAUUGUUUUUGUCUCAUUUCAUUUUGAAUACAUCAGUAUGAGACGAAUAUAGACACAAAAACAAACAUCAGCAAGUCAAUACUAUUUAUUAUCUUUUGUAAAAAAAAAAAGAAAAAAAAUACUAUAUAUUAUCUAUUUAUCACACUUUAAAUGAGUAAACUACCAAUUUUGUCUUAAUCUUUAUAAUUUUGAAAAACGUUUGACAAUAUUUCUAAAUAGUCUAUGUCUUUGCCAAAAGUUUCUCCAUUAAACGCAUGUUUCUAUGUUUUUUUCGCAUGACGAGAGACUUAAUUGAGAAAACUUUUGACAAAGGCAUAGACUAUUUUAAAAUAUUAAUAGAGUCGGAGGAUAAUUUGAGAAUCACUUACAAAGACAUGACCGAUUUGAUUAUUUACUCCACUUCAAAUCCUUUAAUGUAGACACUACCAACUCUUUUAAGAGCAUCCAUAAUGGUAGUAACUAAUAGGGACUCCUUAAAUGAGCUUCACAUGUACAAAUUAUUUAUUUAUAAUUUUUUAAUAAAAGUAUCUAUUAAGGACUCAAUGACUCUAAAGACAAUACACUAAUAUGGAUUUCAAUAAAAAAUACUUAAAUAUGUCCGACUAACUUUACAUCAUUAUACAAAAGUAAUUUAUUUAUUACAUUAUCAAUUACCUCAUAAAAUAUUUCUUUUAAAAGUGGAACCAACUUAUAUAUAUUUUAUCAUUUUUUUAAACUUUGGACCAGUUAGUUUUUCAGAAGAGAGAAUCCUUAUAUAAUUGUAUGUUAUUUAAUAGAUACUUUUUUUUUUCCUUUAAUAGAAUGUCCUUGACAGAGAAUGAUCCUUAUUAAGCAAGGACCUCAUAUUAAUGAUGCUCUAAGACACUUUCUCUUGUAUGUCAACUUUUCAAAUCUAUCAACACAAAAGUUACAAUAUCAUAAUAUCAUAAAGUUAACAUUCAACAUCGCUCAAGAGAACACACAUUAAAAGAAAAUAUUUUUUAAUUUUUUUUCAACUCAUUUCAUUUUGGGUAUAGUAAUAGCGGUUGAAUAAAGACACUAGAGCCAGUCCAAUCACACUUUUUUAUUAUUUGAUUCUCACACUCCAAACAAAUAUCAACAUAUCAAUGUUAUUUUAUUAUAAGUUUAAUAAUGGUAGGUUGACGGUUUAAAACAAUUUUGCAUACACAUCGCAAUCAAAACAUUUCAAAUUGCAGCAAAACGGACAGAUCCAGGGAACUUCAGGUGGCUGCAUGUACAUAAAAGACAAACAAAUGAUAUGAUGUAACAGGUACGUUGCAUGACAAAUUUCUUCUCUAUGAUUGUAAUGCUACAAAUUCAAUUGAUAUUCCGACAGCAAAUUAUUUUCAUUAGGAAAUAUAUAUACAUUGGUUGUUUUCCGGACAGAUACAUGGAAUUUCAUCGAAUAGAUUAAAUUAUAGAUAGUGCAAAUAACAAAAGGAAAAAUAUUGCUCUAGUGACAUCAUUUUGGUUGGUUUUUCAAUAGGCUCCAGUGACAUCAUUUUAGCCACUUAUUUUUUUAGAAGCAAUCAUUUAAGCCUGUUUUAAAAAUAAAAAUAAAAACUUAUUUGUGGUUUAUAGCACAUGCGCUUAUCAUGAUAAGUGAUUAUCUAUAAGCUUACAUAAUCUGUUUCUAUGGCAAAAGAUAAAAUAAAAUUGUUUUCGUAUAUGCUAUAAGUUGUUUCCAUAAACUAUUUUGGAGAACUUACAAAAAAAAGCUUAUGAAAAAUGUCAUAAGCUAUUUUUAUAAGUUGUCCAAAACAGUAUCACAAAACUUAUGCCGGUAGAUAAGCUCAAGCCCUAAUGGGAUAACUUGUACAACUUUUCAUGAUUUGUUUCAAGAAGGAAAAUCAAACGGAACCGUAAAAACAGUUUGUAAAAACCAAGAGUUCAUGGUUUGUCAUGAACCAAACUUGUUUUAAGAUUCAGUGCACCAGGUUAUGCGCUUUUUGGACCAAUAUUGUUUUGAAUGGAGGCCAUGGUGCUGUCAUAGGCCGCAAUGGCGUGUUUAUUGGGGUUUUCUGCCAUAUUCCACACAACACUGUUUUGAAUAAAUAGGUUCUAUCUUUAUAGAACAGAGAUGUUACCUUUACGAACCGAACUGUAUCUUGACUAACCGAGAUGCCCCCAUAGGCUUGGUUUGUGUGUGUAGUACGCGGUAACAAUUUCCAGAUUUCAAUUUGAGUAUUAUGUUUUUCCAGAAUUGUGGGCAUACAGGAGUAAAGAGCAACAUCGGCAAAUUUAUUGGAUAGCCGUCAACUUAUUCUAGUCACUUAGUUGUUUGCUUCAUUAUGUGAAUACUUGUUCUCAAUUUAAAGCACUUAUGAAAGUUUAAAGUUUCUCUUUCAAAUCAUCAAAUACUGAGAGACUGAUUUAAUACAACUUUAUUGAAAGAACUAUAGGAAGAGUCUAUACAGAAAGAUGAUUUUUAUUUCUAUGAACAUAUAAUACAAGGAUAGAGUCUUUUAUUACAAUAUUAAUCAUGAAGACUCACUUAACUAUAAUACUCUAUUUCCGGUGACACUCUUCAAAGACCUCAUCAUGCAUGCUUUAUUUUCUUCACAUAAAUAUAGCAUAACAUGCAAGUUCAAGAUCACACGCAUUCAAUUCGCUUCUUAGCAACAAGACAGAGAGGAUUUUUCUUGUGUUGAAUAAGUCCGGCUUGACCAUGAGUGUCAAUGUCUUCCCUCUUAGCUCCUUCAGGCAUUUCCCAGUCAAAUGAACAGAGAAGAUUAGAAAGUACAAGGUCGAUGGUAGCAAUAGCCAUGUUUAAGCCGGGGCAAAUUCUUCGCCCAGAUCACCCUCUUACUCCAACCUCAACCUCAUCUAGUGAGUGUGGAUGUCAUCCAAACAAAUGGGGGUGUUGUCUUGAUCUUCAUUGCAAUCAUAAACGCACAUGGAAAUUUGUAAGCGAUGAAAAUUAAACAACGACACUUGGAUUUAUCCGUACUACAACCAACUACUCGAUCAACCUCGAUUGCAAGAUAAUGCAAAGCGUUCCUUGAUAUGUUUCGAAUCAACCUAGCCACAUCAACUUUCCUUUGAACCUAUGUUCAAGCAUGAUCAUGCUCGUCCGGAAGGAAGAAUGUAUUUGAGUAUGUUGUGACUCUAGCAUGUUGUGAAUGGAGUUCCAUUUUGUACUUAAUUCACCCAUACUACUAUAGUAAGAUACUUUUUUAACCGUCUGUGUGCAUAUUCUGCUCUGUUUGUUGUAGUAUUCCCCAUAUGUUUGACUUUAUUGAACCAAAACGUCACAACUUAUUCCUUCACCGAACCCAAAAUUUUAUUUUCAACAUAUUUCACAAACUUAGGAAAUUUGUGGCAUACAACUUUGAACCGGUUGCAAUUAUCAACAUAUGCUUGCUCUGUAUCAGAAUUCACGAUAUCCUCCCAUGCAACCAUAACCGUCUUCACCACCUCACUUGACUUGAUCUCUUUCCUAUCCUUGCCUUUUAAAUCCUUAACUUUGCAAUCUGUCUUACAUUUUGCUCUAACAUUUUUUUCAAUGUGAUGCUCACACAAGAGAGCAGUAGCUUCAAGGAAAACAAUAUACACAACAUUCAUCAAAGCAUUUUACUGAUUAGUGACAACUACUUUGGGUGAAAUAUCUUUGGAAUGCAACAGUUCACAACACCUGUCAUAAGACCAAGUAACAUUAUCUUCCUUCUCAUACAUCAUAUAACCAAAUCCACUAGAGAACAUGUACUCGGUAGAAGUGUUACCAACAAACUCAAGUAACGGAAGACGAUACUUGUUGGUCUUAUAAAUGGAACCCAUCACAAGCACCGUAGGCAACGUGUUAAACAACUUGAUACCAUGCAUUUAGGAAAAUAUCACUUACAUCAUCGGAAUCAUGAUAAUUCCUACGUGAUACAUGUACUCCUUCUCAACCAAUAAUUUCAAAAGAUGUUGCAUGUCUGUUCUCGUACCCCUAAUGGACUGCCUAUACCUGUGACAAGCAUUAUAAAUAUGCUUGAUAUUUGUUGAAGUUUUACUAUUCCUUUUCCUUAAGUUGGUAAGAAUUUUCCUCAGAUAAAUAUUUGAGUCCGUCAACUCAUGAAGGUAUAGGCUUUCAUUUGGGUUUAGACGUCCGACAAUUUUAUGACCUUUCAACACCUCUUCCAUGUCAUGGUUGUGUCUACCGUCACCAACUUGGAGGCUCCAAUCACCAACAAUCAACAAAUAACCUCUCAACCGAAACAAACACUCACAUUUAACCGAACCAGAUAUUUUGUGCCUCGUCAACUUCUUGUACUCCGUGUAUGGACCUCCUCUUUCACAUAUGACAAUAACACUCACAUUUAACCGAAUCAUCUAUAACUUCAAGGUCAACAACCGACAACACAUUAGGUGGUUCAAUAUUAGGUGGCAACUCAUUGGAGGCAUCAACAGAAACAUCCAUUACUGAAACAGUGCAAAAGCAUGGUCAGAAAAUGCAGUCACUUUAUGCACUGGUGUUGUUCUUGAAGUAGGGAUAGCUAUUCAGCUAUUGAAAUCUCAUGGUAUGUGUGUUAUGUAUAUCCGCUAAUAUAUAGACAACACCAACUAUUAGAAAAGAUUUAGAGAUUAAAGAGUUGAAUAAUUUGGUUUUGGAUAGAACAUUAUCCAUAAUUUAAUCUGUGUAGCUGACUAUACUUAAUGGGAUAGACCUGAUUAUUGUUGGUGUUGCUUUGAUUUUGGAUAGAACAUUAUCCAUAAUUUAAUCUAUGUAGCUGACUGUACUUAAUGAGAUAGACUUGAUUAUUGUUGUUGUUGCGUCAGUACUAUUUUAUUCCUUAUUUAUCACACUCUAAAUCAUUAAGAUAUACACACCACUGACUUCUUUAAGACACUUUAUAAUAUGUGUCAUCGCCAUUAAAGUUACAAUAUUAUUUUAAAUUGUUUUUGUCUCAUUCCAUUUUGAACACAUCAGUAUGGGAUGAAUAUAGACACAAAAGCAAACAUAAACAAGUCAAUAUUAUUUAUUAUCUUUUGUCAACAAAAAAAAAAAUACUAUUUAUUAUCUAUUUAUCACACUUUUUUUUGAAGAAACUAUCUAUUUAUCACACUUUAAAUGAGUAAACUACCAAUUUUGUCUUAAUCUUUAUAAUUUUUAAAUGAGUAAAUCAUCAAUUUUGUCUUGGUCUUUAUAAGUGAUUCACUAAUUAGUCUCUGACUCUACUAAUAUUUCAAAAUAGUCCUCGUCUUUGUCAAAAGUUUCUCAAUUAAGUUCCUCGUAUGUGAAAAAAAUAAUAGAAAUAUGAGUCUAAUUGAAAAACAUUUGACAAUAUUUCUAAAUAGUCUAUGUCUUUGUCAAAAGUUUCUCCAUUAAACCCAUAUUUCUAUGUUUUUUUCGCAUGACGAGAGACUUAAUUGAGAAAACUUUUGACAAAAGCAGAGACUAUUUUAAAAUAUUAGUAGAGUCGGGGGCUAAUUUGAGAAUCACUUACAAAGACAGGACCGAUUUGAUUAUUUACUCCACUUCAAAUCCUUUAAUGUAGACACCACCAACUCUUUUAAGAGCAUCCACAAUGGUAGUAACUAAUAGGGACUCCUUAAACGAGCUUCACAUGUACACAUUAUUUAUUUAUAAUUUUUUAAUAAAAGUAUCUAUUAAAGAUUCAAUGACUCUAAAGACAAUACACUAAUAUGGAUUACAAAUAAUGUAACAGGUACGUUGCAUGACAAAUUUCUUCUCCAUGAUUGUAAUGCUACAAAUUCAAUUGAUAUUCCGAAAGCAAGUUCUUUUCAUUAGGAAAUAUAUAUACAUUGGUUGUUUUCCGGACAGAUACAUGGAAUUUCAUCGAAUAGAUUAAAUUAUAGAUAGUGCAAAUAACAAAAGGAAAAAUAUUGCUCUAGUGACAUCAUUUUGGUUGGGUUUUCAAUAGGCUCCAGUGACAUCCAUUUUAUCCAUAAUUUUUUUUAGAAGACAUCAUUUAAGCCCUGUUUGAAUAAACCAUUUAUUCGCAGCUUAUAGCACAAGUGCUUAUCAUGAUAAAUGAUUAUCUAUAAGCUUACAUAAGCUGUUUCUAUGGCAAAAGAUAAAAUUAAAUUGUUUUGGUAUAUGCUAUAAGUUGUUUCCGUAAACUAUUUUGGAGAACUUGCAACUUUUCAUUGGCUGCAAUGGUGUGUUUAUUGGAGUUUUCUGCCAUAUUCCACCAUCCGUCAUCGACAACACUGUUUUGACUAAACAGGUUCUACAUUUAUAGAACAGAGAUGUUACCUUUGCAAACCGAACUGUUUUCUUGACUAACCAAGUUGCGAACCGAACUGUUUUGUGUGUAGUACAUGGUAACAAUUUCCAAAAUUCAAUUUGAGUAGUAUGUUUUUGCAGAAUUGCAGGCAUACAGGCGUAAAGAACAACAUCGGCGAAUUAUUGGAUAGCCGUCGACUUAUUCUAGUCACUUAGUUGUUUGCUUCAUAAUGUGAAUAUUUGUUCUCAAUUUAAAGCACUUAUGAAAGUUUACAGUUUCUCUUUCAAAUCAUCAAAUACUGAGAAGCUGAUUUAAUACAACUUUAUUGAAAGAAGGAAAAUGUAUAGAGAUACAAGAAAGAAAAACAACUGCUGAAAUCAAAGGGAACUACUUUGAAAAAUAACAUUCAAAAUCAACACAUCAUUUGUAGAACAUGGUCAUCGACUGAGUGAAAAACUAUUUAUAGGAUAAAACCUUAAUGUUCUUCACCAUUUCUCGACUCUCAGACUUCUUACAACAUGACAUAUCAGAUCAAAAUCAUCCUAUUUACCACUCCCCUGAACUACAAAGGAAUAGUUAAUACAGCAAGAUGAAUUUUAUUUCUUUGAACAUAUAAUACCACAUUAGAGUCUUUUAUUAUAAUAUUGAAUAUGAAGACUCACUUAACUAUAACAUGCAAUUUCAAGAUCACACGCAUUCAAUUCGCUUCUUAGCAACAAGACAGAGAGGAUUUUUCUUGUGUUGAAUAAGUCCGGCUUGACCAUGAGUGUCAAUGUCUUCCCUCUUAGCUCCUUCAGGCAUUUCCCAAUCAAAUGAAUAGAGAAGAUUAGAAAGUACAAGGUCGAUGGUAGCAAUAGCCAUGUUUAAGCCGGGGCAAAUUCUUCGCCCAGAACCAAACGGAAUCAGCUCAAAAUCUUGUCCUUUUAAAUCUAUAUCACUUCCUAUGAAUCUCUCUGGAUAAAACUCUUCUGGAUCCUUCCAUACUUCUGGGUCUCUAUGGAUCGCCAAUGCAUUCACGUACACCAAUGUCUUGUCUGGAAUGUCGUACCCUGCAAUGUUGCAAUUUGUCAUUGUUUCUCUUG